rnacentral:rRNA from 1 species
CCUACGGGGGGCUGCAGUCGAGGAUCUUCCGCAAUGGGCGAAAGCCUGACGGAGCGACACCGCGUACAGGAUGAAGGCCUUCGGGUUGUAAACUGUUGUCACGCUAUAGGAAAACCUUGGUGUUAAUAGCGCCAAGGCUGACUAAAGCGAGAGGAAGCAACGGCUAACUCUGUGCCAGCAGCCGCGGUAAGACAGAGGUUGCAAACGUUGUUCGGAAUCACUGGGCAUAAAGCGCACGUAGGCGGUCUGUUAAGUCAGGUGUGAAAGCCCCCGGCUCAACCGGGGAACAGCAUUUGAUACUGACAGACUCGAGGAUGGUAGGGGUGAGUGGAACUCCAGGUGGAGCGGUGAAAUGCGUAGAUAUCUGGAGGAACACCGGUGGCGAAAGCGGCUCACUGGACCAUAACUGACGCUGAGGUGCGAAAGCUAGGGUAGCAAACGGGCUUAGAUACCCUUGUAGUC